AGGAAACCCAGGGAACCAUGAAAAUCCAAAAUCCAAACUGUCUGAUUAAAAAGUCAGAAUCGACAAAGUCAUUUAAUGAAGUCGAUCCUCUAGAGACUAAGAAUAUCUGUACAAAGUUUAAUGUCUUUAGUCCAGAUCCAGUCCAUGUGGACUAAAGUAGUGGACUGACCAACAGACUGACAUUAACAUCAGAGCCGUGCUGCUAGUGUGGCUAAAAGAAAAGAGAAGAAGAGACAGUCAUGUUGAUAUGAACAUUAGAGAAACACAUCAUGGAGCUGAAAUAUGAUCCUGCUUCCUCAUUUGGACUCAUUCACCUCAGCUGACACGUUCAACAGCAGACAGGUUUUUGUAGCAGUCUGUCUCACUGUGGGAGGAUACAGCUACUUCAUCUUUGGCUCUGGAACUAAACUGUCUGUAACAGGUAAGAACAAACAUUUAUUUUCCUUCAGUUGUUUUAUUGUAGAAGCUGAAAAUGUGUUUAAAGUCAGUUUGUGCUGCUUCAGGCUUUACAUGUUAGUUUUUCAUCAUUAGUAGAGAAUUCAUCUGCAGCCAUUGUUACAUAAGAAAAGCUCAAUAAUCUCUGAAAACAUGUUGAAAUCUCACUGAACAACUAAAGUUAUUCUUUAUUUCUGCAAAUAUUAGUGAUGUUACAAAUAUUUAGGAUUUGAUCCUCUCAGUGAUUCUGCACCAUAAAGAUUUUUUAAGAAUUUAUUGAAGAAAUUUUAAUAAAUAUGAAAACUGAAAGGAAAAUUAUAUUAAACACAACUUUUACAUAAUUGUUUUUAACUUAAGACAUAACAUUACAAAUUCUAACACACAAAUCUUAAUGCUCAUUUUCAUUUUAAACAUAUAUGGCAUAGGUGUUUGUUAGAAUAACUGUUGCUUACAAGUUUAUAAAAUAUGUAAAACAAAAUCCAGACACAAAAAAGUUUAUUUACACUGCUGAGUUUUGUUUUUUUGUUUUUGUUCUUUACAAUCAUCUGUUCUCCUAACAACAUGACUUCAUAAAGUAUAUCGUAAAUGGACUGAUUCGUAUAUAGCACUUUUCUACUCCCUCGGAGUACUCAAAGCUCUCUAUACAACAUGCCACAUUCACCCAAUCACUUUAUCUAUACUUAGUGCUUUCUAACUACAAUCACACACAUUCACACUCCGAUGGAUGCAUCGGAGAGCAACUCGGGGUUAGUAUCUUGCCCAAGGAUACUCUGCAUGCAAACUGGAGGAUCGAACCACCAACCUUCCAAUCAGUAGGUGACCUGCUCUACCUCCUGAGCCACAGCCACCCCACCAUGUAUUAAAAGAAUGAAGCUCCAGGCUGGUAAUGGACAAGGAGAAGUGUGGUGUAUGUUAUGAAAAGGCUGUGAGCCCACACCUACAGCCAGUUUAGAAGUCAGUCUAACAUACUUGUCUUUUGAAUGUAGAAGGAAACCUGAGUGGACAGAAAAGGACGACACAAGCACCAAGUAUACAUGUGACCACACAGCAACCACCAUCAGGACCCAGAGUCCACGUGGACGGGAACAGCUCCCUGCUGUGUGUCCCCCCAGGCAUCUUUCCUUUUCUGGUCCAGCUGUCAUGUAGAAACCAGACAAGGAACGGCCGACUGAAGCAGCUGCCCACUGCUGACGGAGAGCAGUCAGAGCUCAGAGAGUCGAGGCCCUACUCUCCCAUCUUAAUGACCCAUGAAAGCAGCACCUAUGAAUGUGACUGCUACAUAAAGCACAGGGGGAAGCUCCAAACACAACAAGAUUAUGUGCCAUCUAUGUUCGAGGUGAAGUCGAUCUACAUGCUGUACACAGUGCUGAUAGUGAAGAGUCUGGUGUACUGCUGUGGACUCUCUCUGCUGAUGAUGCUCACAAACAAGGGAGCGUCCACCAACUGCACACAUGCUGACUGACUGUUUCCUGCUCGCCUUUUCUCACCAUCACAUCUCAUCAAUUCAUCUCAUUCAUCACUUUGAUCAGUGUUGUGUUUAUGAUGUAGUUCAUUCCGCUUCUAUUUUGCUUUUAUAUUGCAUUUUUAUGCACACUGUAUUCUAAAGUAAUGUAUAUAUGGACAGUUAUGGAUCAAAUGGAAAUUCCUAUAAUAAACUGAUCACUGAUCAAAAUAAAUGUGAUUUUUAUUGUCUAGUUAUUUUGAUUUUUAAUUUGGUCAUGUAUUCUAAAACAAAAAAAUAAAGCUUCAUAUUUUAUCAUUGUUAUAG
ensembl:lncRNA